rnacentral:rRNA from 1 species
CGCAGCCGCGGUAAUUCCAGCCCCAAUAGCGUAUAUUAAAGUUGUUGCAGUUAAAAAGCUCGUAGUUGAAUUUCGGGGUCAGUAGGUUGGUCGUGCCACCGGUACGUACUGGUCUCACUGAUUCCUCCUUCCUGAAGAACCGUAAUGCCAUUAAUUUGGUGUUGCGGGGAAACGGGACUGUUACUUUGAAAAAUUAGAGUGUUUAAAGCAGGCUAACGCUUGAAUACAUUAGCAUGGAAUAAUGAAAUAGGACGAUCGAUCCUAUUUUGUUGGUUUCUAGGAUUGACGUAAUGAUUAAUAGGGAUAGUUGGGGGCACUAGUAUUCAAUUGUCAGAGGUGAAAUUCUUGGAUUUAUUGAAGACUAACUAAUGCGAAAGCAUUUGCCAAGGAUGUUUUCAUUAAUCAAGAACGAGAGUUAGGGGAUCGAAGACGAUCAGAUACCGUCGUAGUCUUAACCAUAAACUAUGCCGACUAGGGAUCGGGAUGAUGUUAAUUUUAUAAUGACUCAUUCGGCGCCUUA